rnacentral:tRNA from 1 species
GUGCCGUUAGUGUAGUAGGUUAUCACGUCCGCCUAACACGCGGGAGGUCCUUGGUUCGAAUCCGAGACGGCACA